AGGACGAACGCUGGCGGCGUGCUUAACACAUGCAAGUCACGGGGGCCCGUAGCAAUACGGGCAACCGGCGAACGGGUGCGUAACACGUGAGCAAUCUGCCGAUCUCUGGGGGAUAGCCAGCCUAACGGCUGGGUAAUACCGCAUACGCUCGUUGGGGGGAGUCCCCUGAUGAGGAAACCUCUGGGGGAGAUCGAGGAGCUCGCGACCUAUCAGCUAGUUGGCGGGUAACGGCCCACCAAGGCAGCGACGGGUAGCUGGUCUGAGAGGAUGGCCAGCCACAUUGGGACUGCGACACGGCCCAGACUCCUACGGGAGGCAGCAGUGGGGAAUAUUGCGCAAUGGACGAAAGUCUGACGCAGCGACGCCGCGUGUGGGAUGAAGCCUUUCGGGGUGUAAACCACUGUUGCCCGGGACGAAACUCCUCUUUCGAGAGGAUUGACGGUACCGGGUGAGGAAGCACCGGCUAACUCUGUGCCAGCAGCCGC
rnacentral:rRNA from 1 species